rnacentral:rRNA from 1 species
GAUGAACGCUGGCGGCGUGCUUAACACAUGCAAGUCGAACGGGAAUUACUUUAUUGAAACUUCGGUCGAUUUCAUUUAAUUCUAGUGGCGGACGGGUGAGUAACGCGUGGGUAACCUGCCUUAUACAGGGGGAUAACAGUCAGAAAUGGCUGCUAAUACCGCAUAAGCGCACAGAGCUGCAUGGCUCGGUGUGAAAAACUCCGGUGGUAUAAGAUGGACCCGCGUUGGAUUAGCUUGUUGGUGGGGUAACGGCCCACCAAGGCGACGAUCCAUAGCCGGCCUGAGAGGGUGAACGGCCACAUUGGGACUGAGACACGGCCCAGACUCCUACGGGAGGCAGCAGUGGGGAAUAUUGCACAAUGGGGGAAACCCUGAUGCAGCGACGCCGCGUGAAGGAAGAAGUAUCUCGGUAUGUAAACUUCUAUCAGCAGGGAAGAUAGUGACGGUACCUGACGAAGAAGCCCCGGCUAACUACGUG